UGUGUGCUUUAUAAAAUUGGAAUUACAUAAGUGUUUGGAAACAAUCAAAAUUGAACUCGCAGCUAUUAUUGCUGACAUGAAAUCAGGAGCUUGUGCUGUACAAGUUGACAACUGGUAACGCUACACGAGAACGCAGCAAUCCGAAGAUCAAUUCAUUACACUAUAUGUAAACUCUACUUAACUUAGUCAUGGGUGGGUCUUGCGUUGUAAAUGGUA